rnacentral:rRNA from 1 species
AGAGUUUGAUCCUGGCUCAGAACGAACGCUGGCGGCGUGCCUAACACAUGCAAGUCGAACGAGAAAGGAGCUUCGGCUCCGAGUAAAGUGGCGCACGGGUGAGUAACACGUAGGUAACCUGCCUCUAAGAUUGGGAUAACUUGUCGAAAGACGAGCUAAUACCAAAUAAGACCACGGUCUCCUCGGAGACAGAGGUCAAAGGUAGCCUCUAUUUAUAAGCUAUCGCUAAGAGAUGGGCCUGCGUACCAUUAGCUAGUUGGUGAGGUAACGGCUCACCAAGGCAAAGAUGGUUAGCUGGUCUGAGAGGAUGAUCAGCCACACUGGAACUGAGACACGGUCCAGACUCCUACGGGAGGCAGCAGUGGGGAAUAUUGCGCAAUGGGCGAAAGCCUGACGCAGCAACGCCGCGUGAGUGAUGAAGGCCUUCGGGUCGUAAAGCUCUGUCGGAGGGAACGAAUGCUCCUGAAGUUAACAGCUUCGGGAGGUGACGGUACCCUCAAAGAAGCC